CUUGCAAGCUGAUGAGACCCAUUUAUUCAUCUUUCCGACUGCAGUGCUGUGAGCRAGCAGCUCCCCAACCCCUUGGGACUGGCACCACAUUGGCCUUUCAGGAGCGCUCAGAGGUGCCGGCAGUACCAUAUUUCUACUGUCAUCUUUAUCUGUUCUACUCUGCUCUGACCCACCUGUACUCAUAAAGACCCUGAUGAAGUGACAACCUUCAGGCAGGAGCACCCGAUGGCAGGACAGUCACCCCAUGUACAGGCACUGGAAGCAGCCC